AAGAACCGACCUCCGGAAUGAAUUAAGUUCUUAUCCAAAGGUACCAAUGCUAUAAAGCCUUUACAGUGGUACCUCUGGUUAUGAACUUAAUUCAUUCUGGAG